CCUACGGGGGGCAGCAGUGGGGAAUAUUGGACAAUGGGGGAAACCCUGAUCCAGCAACGCCGCGUGGAUGAUGAAGGUCUUCGGAUUGUAAAGUCCUUUUGGCGGGGACGAUGAUGACGGUACCCGCAGAAUAAGCUCCGGCUAACUUCGUGCCAGCAGCCGCGGUAAUACGAAGGGAGCAAGCGUUGUUCGGAAUUACUGGGCGUAAAGAGCGCGUAGGCGGUUUGAUAAGUUGGGCGUGAAAUCCCCGGGCUUAACCCGGGAACUGCGUUCAAAACUAUCUGACUCGAGUGUGGAAGAGGUUGGUGGAAUUCCCAGUGUAGAGGUGAAAUUCGUAGAUAUUGGGAAGAACACCCGUGGCGAAGGCGGCCAACUGGUCCAUAACUGACGCUGAGGCGCGAAAGCGUGGGGAGCAAACAGGCUUAGAUACCCCAGUAGUC
rnacentral:rRNA from 1 species